rnacentral:lncRNA from 1 species
GCUCUGGCAUCACUGAUGACAAGCUGCUGAUCUGCCUGGAGUCCCUUCGUGUCUCUCUCACCAGUAACCCUGUCAGCUGGGUGAACAACUUUGGCCAUGAAGGACUGGGCCUCCUCUUGGAUGCAUUGGAUAAGUUGCUGGAUAAGAAACAGCCAGAAAGUAUAGACAAAAGGAACCAGCACAAGCUGAUCCAGUGUCUCAAGGCCUUCAUGAACAAUAAGGUUUGUACGGGUUGGAUUGGUCCAAGGCCUUCUUGAACAAUAAGGUUUGUAUGGGUUGGAUUGGUACGAGGUCUUCAUGAACAAUGCAGUUUGUACGGGUUGGGUUGGUCCAAGGCCUUCAUGAACAAUACGGUUUGUACGGGUUGGGUUUGUCCAAGGCCUUCAUGAACAAUACGGUUUGUACAGGUUGGGUUUGUCCAAGGCCUUCAUGAACAAUACGGUUUGUACAGGUUGGGUUGGUCCAAGGCCUUCAUGAACAAUAAGGUUUGUACGGGUUGGGUUGGUCCAAGGCCUUCAUGAACAAUACGGUUUGUACGGGUUGGGUUGAUCCAAGGCCUUCAUGAACAAUACGGUUUGUACAGGUUGGGUUGGUCCAAGGUCUUCAUGAACAAUAAGGUUUGUACA